AGUCAAGUAAUUAAGUGCAUGUGGUGGAUGCCUUGGCAGUCAGAGGCGAUGAAAGACGUGAUAGCCUGCGAAAAGCUCCGGGGAGGCGGCAAAUAUCCUUUGAUCCGGAGAUGUCUGAAUGGGGGAACCCACCUACUUUAAGGUAGGUAUUGCAACAUGAAUACAUAGUGUUGCAAGGCGAACGAGGGGAAGUGAAACAUCUCAGUACCCUUAGGAAAAGAAAUCAAUUGAGAUUCCCUCAGUAGCGGCGAGCGAACGGGGAUCAGCCCAUUAAGUUAUGUGUGUUUUAGUGGAACGCUCUGGGAAGUGCGAACGUAGAGGGUGAUAUUCCCGUACACGAAAGGGCACACAUAAUGAUGACGAGUAGGGCGAGGCACGUGAAACCUUGUCUGAAUAUGGGGGGACCAUCCUCCAAGGCUAAAUACUCCUGACUGACCGAUAGUGAACCAGUACCGUGAGGGAAAGGCGAAAAGAACCCCUGUGAGGGGAGUGAAAUAGAUCCUGAAACCGCAUGCAUACAAGCAGUGGGAGCACCUUCGUGGUGUGACUGCGUACCUUUUGUAUAAUGGGUCAGCGACUUAUAUUCAGUAGCAAGGUUAACCGUAUAGGGGAGCCGUAGAGAAAUCGAGUCUUAAUAGGGCGUUUAGUUGCUGGGUAUAGACCCGAAACCAGGCGAUCUAUCCAUGAGCAGGUUGAAGGUUGGGUAACACUAACUGGAGGACCGAACCCACUGUCGUUGAAAAGCCAGGGGAUGACUUGUGGAUAGGGGUGAAAGGCUAAUCAAGCCUGGUGAUAGCUGGUUCUCCCCGAAAGCUAUUUAGGUAGCGCCUCGGACGAAUACCAUAGGGGGUAGAGCACUGUUUCGGCUAGGGGGUCAUCCCGACUUACCAAACCGAUGCAAACUCCGAAUACCUAUGAGUACUAUCCGGGAGACAGACUGCGGGUGCUAACGUCCGUAGUCAAGAGGAAAACAAUCCAGACCGCCAGCUAAGGCCCCAAAAUCAUAGUUAAGUGGGAAACGAUGUGGGAAGGCAUAGACAGCUAGGAGGUUGGCUUAGAAGCAGCCACCCUUUAAAGAAAGCGUAAUAGCUCACUAGUCGAGUCGGCCUGCGCGGAAGAUGUAACGGGGCUAAAACUAUGUGCCGAAGCUGCGGAUGUAUACUUUGUAUACGUGGUAGGGGAGCGUUCUGUAAGCCAAUGAAGGUGUGUUGAGAAGCAUGCUGGAGGUAUCAGAAGUGCGAAUGCUGACGUGAGUAACGACAAAACGGGUGAAAAACCCGUUCGCCGAAAGACCAAGGGUUCCAGUCCAACGUUAAUCGGGGCUGGGUGAGUCGACCCCUAAGGCGAGGCCGAAAGGCGUAGUCGAUGGGAAAAUGGUUAAUAUUCCAUUACUUCUGUGUAAUGCGAUGAGAGGACGGAGAAGGCUAAAUCAGCCUGGCGUUGGUUGUCCAGGUGAAAGGAUGUAGGCAUGUAUCUUAGGCAAAUCCGGGGUACUCUAUGCUGAGAUCUGAUAGCAAGCUGUACUUGUACAGCGAAGUGGUUGAUGCCAUGCUUCCAGGAAAAGUCUCUAAGCUUCAGUUACACAGGAAUCGUACCCGAAACCGACACAGGUGGUCAGGUCGAGUAGACCAAGGCGCUUGAGAGAACUCUGCUGAAGGAACUAGGCAAAAUGGUACCGUAACUUCGGGAGAAGGUACGCUGUUGUUGGUGAUGGAACUCGCUUCCUGAGCUGACGACAGCCGCAGAAACCAGGCCGCUGCAACUGUUUAUUAAAAACAUAGCACUCUGCAAACACGAAAGUGGACGUAUAGGGUGUGAUGCCUGCCCGGUGCUGGAAGGUUAAUUGAUGGGGUUAGCGUAAGCGAAGCUCUUGAUCGAAGCCCCAGUAAACGGCGGCCGUAACUAUAACGGUCCUAAGGUAGCGAAAUUCCUUGUCGGGUAAGUUCCGACCUGCACGAAUGGCAUAAUGAUGGCGGCGCUGUCUCCAGCAGAGGCUCAGUGAAAUCGAAAUCGCUGUGAAGAUGCAGUGUACCCGCGGCUAGACGGAAAGACCCCGUGAACCUUUACUGCAGCUUGACACUGAACUUUGACCUUACUUGUGUAGGAUAGGUGGGAGGCUUUGAAGCUGGAACGCUAGUUCCAGUGGAGCCGUCCUUGAAAUACCACCCUGGUAAUGUUGAGGUUCUAACUCUGUCCCGUGAUCCGGGACGAGGACCGUGUCUGGUGGGUAGUUUGACUGGGGCGGUCUCCUCCUAAAGAGUAACGGAGGAGUACGAAGGUGCGCUCAGCGUGGUCGGAAAUCACGCGUAGAGUAUAAAGGCAAAAGCGCGCUUAACUGCGAGACCCACAAGUCGAGCAGGUACGAAAGUAGGUCUUAGUGAUCCGGUGGUUCUGUAUGGAAGGGCCAUCGCUCAACGGAUAAAAGGUACUCUGGGGAUAACAGGCUGAUACCGCCCAAGAGUUCAUAUCGACGGCGGUGUUUGGCACCUCGAUGUCGGCUCAUCUCAUCCUGGGGCUGAAGCAGGUCCCAAGGGUAUGGCUGUUCGCCAUUUAAAGAGGUACGCGAGCUGGGUUUAGAACGUCGUGAGACAGUUCGGUCCCUAUCUACCGUGGGCGCUGGAAAUUUGAGAGGAUCUGCUCCUAGUACGAGAGGACCAGAGUGGACGAACCUCUGGUGUACCGGUUGUGACGCCAGUCGCAUCGCCGGGUAGCUAUGUUCGGAAGGGAUAACCGCUGAAAGCAUCUAAGCGGGAAGCCUACCUCAAGAUAAGAUUUCCCUAGGACUUUAUGUCCUCUAAAGAGCCGUUCGAGACUAGGACGUUGAUAGGUUGGAUGUGGAAGCAUAGUGAUAUGUGAAGCUGACCAAUACUAAUUGCUCGUGAGGCUUGACUAU
rnacentral:rRNA from 1 species